rnacentral:lncRNA from 1 species
CUUUUCUCAAAGUAGUUUCUCCUCUGUCAUUUUAAAAAUGGUAAAGAAUACUGAAAAAUCAUCAUUAAUUUCUUCCCUCUGUCUUUCUGUUUUAAGCUGUGAGUUUAUUAGCUUAUUUCCAGUUGGGCCAGCGAUAAUUGUUACAAAACAUUUUCUUGACAAUAAUAUUGCCAGUUUGGUGGAUUUCAUGCCUAACUGUGUUCAAAUUCAUGUCCCAUAUCACAAAUUUAUUUGGGGGGGUAUUCAGAGGUUCAUUGGGCCAGGUCCAAUAAACAUUGCACUCUUCCAAUUGAUUUGAUCCCUAUGGAAUGAACCAACUUGUGGAGAGACCCAAAAUUGGUCUAGUGGCUUAGAAGAUGUACAGUAGACUGCAGAUACAGUACAGUUGAGUUGUGCUUGAUCUUUGACGACUCCCUUCUUAACAUUAACAUUAUUUGAGAUGGAAAGAAAAGGAAAGUUCUAUUUAGUGGGGAUAAUAUUGGUAAAAAACAUUACUAAGGAUUCUCUAUGAUAUGAUACAGAUAACUCACAGAAGGUGACAGCAUGAAUUACCUGUAUCAUAUUAGAUUGGUGAUCAACCCUAAUAAUGCUGUUCUAUGUACUGGCAUUUUUUAAAAAUUUUAAACAUUUUGGAUAUUUGAUUUAUUUCAAAUAAAUUUAAUGGCGCCAUUAAUUCGAAAAAAUAUACAUUUGAAAAUAAAUAUUUUAGAUCGGAAG